AUGCUGCCGGCCGUCCGCGGAGGCAAUGCGUGCCCGGCGAGCCGACAGCUGCGCCGGCGUCAGCCCCGCGUCCUCCGCCACGUUGGCCACCACGGAGCCGCUCUCCCCCUCCUCGGCUACGGAGUAGCGGAUGGGCUCGCAGCGAACGCGCGGCACGCACAGCAAAGCACACAGACAAAGCACUUGCCUUGCAGACGCCAUGGCGGGGCGGCGGACACCCUCCGUCUGCCGCAGUCCUCCGCGGGAAGCGGCGCCCGGCAGCAGCGCGGCGCCAAGGGCGGGCGCCCUCCCUCGCGGCCUCCCUCUCUCCCUCUCGCCGAGCUCGGCUGGCGGCCCGCAGCGCGGCACUCCGGGACCGGCAGCGGCUGCUGCGGAGGACGCCGCGGACGACCGCUCGCCGCCGCCUCCCGGCUGCGCUGCGCUGCGCUGCGCUGCGCUGGGCUCGGCCGCCUCCCCGCUCGCAGCCGCUCGCCGCCGCCUUGGCCACGAGCACCACCCUGCGGCCUGCGGCGGGACUGCUCCGGGACGGGACGCGCUCCUGGCCGCCGACUCGCAGCCUUCCACAAACGCCGGUGUUCGGGUGUUCUUUUCAUUUCACCUUUACAGGAAAGCGUGUCCUGCGUGGCCGUGAUGUAGCGUAUGAGUGCAGCACAAUGCAGCACGAGCUUUUCCAAAAGUUCACUGCCAUAGCACUAUUUUUCUAACAACGUGUUCACCUGUCCUUCUGCCGGUGGUGACAGUCCUUCUUCAGGGGAAUAGGUAACACAAUGCUCCAACACAACUGAUACAGGAAAUGAGAAUGGGAAUAAGGGGAAAGAAAGCUUUCUAACACCAUGGAACUAAACCCACGAAUAAUCAUGUCAGACUGCACUCUUGUCUCAUGGAGAAGCUAGAGUAAGCGGGAAGGAAAGCAAUGGGAUAAAACUGAGUGACCACUUUUUAUCAUUUCUUUGUGAAAGACUUGUCGUUCAUUUACCUUAGAAUCCAGACAUUACCAUGAGAAUGAUCUUUGUCUGCCCAAUCUCACCCUUGUGUUAUAACCCAGAAAAGAAAGGGUGAGGUCCACAGCGUUCCCUAACAAGGAGGACAAAUUAAUUAAGGAGCCAAAAAUUUAAAGAGACAAAGUACUUAACGAGCCAAUUUAAAGAGCCAAACCCUACUAAUGAGGUGCUUCAGAAAAGAUAUUGUCCCAGAUGAAACAAAUUGCCUGAAAGAAAGAAACUUUACUUUCUUGAUUUUUUUUUAUCUCUUAUUUUUCCUUUGAGGGGUGAAGAAUAACAUACCUCUGAUUUCCUAUUGGAGGGUAAUUUGCGAAGCCAAUUACAACAACCGGGGAAAGAAUUUAAGGAGAAAAAGAAUUUUACGUGACAACUUAACGAGCCAGUCUGAAGCACCAAUUUCUACUCACUUCAGAAGAGAUCUCGACUGAGGUGAAACAUAUCAUUGCCUGAAUAAUGGAGACUUUGGUUUCUUUCAUUCUUUUUAUUUCCUUAUUUAUUAAUUUCGGAGGUGUAGAGGAAAACAUAUAUCUGACUUAUUUUUAGAGGGUUAUUUGCAAUGCCAGUUUCAACUGCAGGUUUACUCUCCAGGAAACAAGGGUUAAGGGUUGUGAGCUAGAUCCCUUCCAGCUCUAAAACGCUAGACAGGGUCUGGCCUCACCAGUGCUGAACAGAAGGGAAAUAUUGCUUUCCUUGCACUGCUCAAGAUACUCCCUUGACCUGUUCAAGAGACUCUGCUGAUUCAACCAUCAUUAGGCUUCUUUAUGGCAAGGUCAAGCUGCUGGCACAUGUUCAACUUGGUAUCCACUGAUACCCAGAGAGCCUUUUCCACCAGCCUGCUUUUCUGGAACAUGGCAUUGUUCCUCCCCAGGUGAAGGACUUUGCACUUUUCCUUGUGGAACUCCAUGAGGAUCCUGUCAGCCCAUUUCUCCAGGUUCUCCAGAUUCUUUUGAUGACAGCAACACCCUCUGCAGUAGCCGACGCUUCUCCACCUCAGCACACUCCAUUUUACAGUACCUGCUGAUUACAGGGGGCACAAUCUGUCCCAUCAUUGAGAUUAUUUAUAAGGAUAUUCAACACAGAAUAAAAAGAAUAUCCCAAGCUGGAAGAAACCGGUAAGGAUCAUCUAGUGACCCUCCUGGCUCUUCAUAGGUCUAAAAAUAAUUCAGACCAUGUGACUAAGAGCACAAACCAAAUGUACAGCCCAAAUUUGCUCAAAAUACCUUCUAGUCCUACAUCCAAAUCGUUUCUAAAAACAUUGAAGAGAACUGGCUCUAAAACGAAGCCUUGGGGGACCCCACUGGUGACUGGCCGAUACCCUGGUGCAGCCCCAUUUACCGUAAACCUUUGAGCAAUACCCAUCAGAUAAUUAUUCACCCAUCAUAUGAUGUUUUUGUCUAGCUGUAUGCUGGACAUUGUGCCCAGUAGAAUCCUAAGGGAAACUGUGUCAAAAGCUUUACUGAAAUCCAAAAAGAUUACAGCAGCUGGUUUCCCUUCAUCGACUAGAUUGGUGAUCUCAUAAUAAAAGGAAAUCAAAUUUGUUAAACAGAACCUACCCCUCAUGAAACCAUCUUGGCUGGGACCAAUGACUGUGUUGUCCCCCAGGUGUGAUUCAAUAACUCCCAGGAUUAUCUCCAUAAUUUUACCAUGCACUGCCAUGACACUAACAGGCCUGUAGUUUCCAGGGUCUUCUUUCUUGCCCUUCUUCAAAACUGGUACAACAUUGGCCAGCUUCCAAUCAACUGGGGCCUCUCCCGAUUCCCAAGAACAUUGAAAAAUCAUUGAGAGAAUUCCCACUAUGAUGUUAGUCAGCUCUCUGAGCACCCUGAGAUGAAUCUCAUCUAAAACCAUGGACUUGUUUGGAUCCAGGUGGAGCAGCAAAUCCCACACACAUUAAACAAUGCGAUCUGUAUUGAUCCAUGGGGUACACCAAGAGUUCCUGGCAUCCAACAGGACUUUAUGCUACUGAUCACCACUCUUCUGGGCCCACCUGU
rnacentral:lncRNA from 1 species